UACGUAGGGUGCGAGCGUUAAUCGGAAUUACUGGGCGUAAAGCGUGCGCAGGCGGUUUUGUAAGCCAGAUGUGAAAUCCCCGGGCUCAACCUGGGAAUGGCAUUUGGGACUGCAAGGCUGGAGUACGGCAGAGGAGACUGGAAUUCCUGGUGUAGCAGUGAAAUGCGUAGAUAUCAGGAGGAAUACCGAUGGCGAAGGCAGGUCUCUGGGCUGAUAUUGACGCUGAGGAGCGAAAGCGUGGGGAGCAAACAGG
rnacentral:rRNA from 1 species